UACGUAGGGAGCAAGCGUUGUCCGUAAUCAUUGGGCGUAAAGCGCGCGUAGGCGGCCUUGUAAGUCCGUUGUGAAAGUCAAAGGCUCAACCUUUGAAAGCCGAUGGAUACUGUGAGGCUAGAGUCCGGAAGAGGCGAGUGGAAUUCCUGGUGUAGCGGUGGAAUGCGCAGAUAUCAGGAGGAACACCAAUAGCGAAGGCAGCUCGCUGGGACGGUACUGACGCUAAGGCGCGAAAGCGUGGGGAGCGAACAGG
rnacentral:rRNA from 1 species